GUCUUUGGCUGCGAAAGCCCGCUGCCUGGCUCCUGAGUCUGCUUCCUGUAGCUGCGGGACCAGUUUGAGGUCUCCAUGACCCCUUCUCAGACGCAGGUCUUGUGUAGCCCCAAACUGUUCCACGAACCCAGAAUAUUUGACAGAAGCUUUUCAUGAAAAUGGUUUGUAAAGAUGGGAAGAGACCUCUCAUUGAGGUAGUUGACUUCUAGUCCUUGGACUUGGCAUUGAAGUUGAGACGUGGUCUUGAACUCUCUUCUUCUUGGAGUUUGGGAAUGGUCAGACCCAUGAUCUUGAUGAUUUUUUGUUUCAAAUUGAGGUGAUUCGAAAUGGCUAUGACAUAAAGCUAAAGCUCUGCUGUACCCUGAGGAUACAUAGUACCCGUGCUGCCCUUAGCAUUAGUUGUAUCCUUUUUAUUGAGUACAUCCAUUGGUGAAAUGACCACAGGAGAUGUGGAGUUCUCAUCUCACUGAAGUUCUUAGAAAAGUUGUGUUUUGCUGCCCACCAUGCGUGUCUCUGCUAUGAAUGUGCAAGCGGGAGGAGUGGCUGAUACUUCUUGAAGCUGUGCUACUCUUCAGGCCCAUUUUAGCAGGUUGGGGAGCUGCAGACAGGACACCUGAGGAAGGUCAGCAAAGACGAUUCCUGUCGUCUUGUCGGGAAGAAGCAAAGAUGGAAGUCAGCAGUCUGGAGUCCCGGCAGGAGAGUUACAGAAGUGAGAGAUGGAGAAGGUGAAUCCAGUCAAUUUGCUGAAGUAAAAGCUGUCCAGCUUGCUCUUGAUGUGGCCGAAUGUGAAAACUUGGCUAUCCUUUACCUCUACGCUGACUCGUGGGUGGUAGCCAAUACUCUAUAGGGUUGUCUAAAAGACUGGAAAAAGAACUGGUGGCAGAUGAAUAAAAGUCUAUUUGGUGUGCUGGUCUA